rnacentral:rRNA from 1 species
AACGAACGCUGGCGGCAUGCUUAACACAUGCAAGUUGAACGCAGAAUAGAGCUUCGGCUCUAUUGCUGAGUAGCAAACGGGUGAGUAACGCGUGGGAAUCUGCCUUCUUGUGGGGGAUGACUAAGGGAAACUUUAGCUAAUACCGCAUACGCUCUACGGAGGAAAGGCUUCGGCCGCAAGAAGAGGAGCCCGCGUCAGAUUAGGUAGUUGGUGGGGUAAAAGCCUACCAAGCCGAUGAUCUGUAGCUGGUCUGAGAGGAUGAUCAGCCACACUGGGACUGAGGCACGGCCCAGACUCCUACGGGAGGCAGCAGUGGGGAAUAUUGGACAAUGGGCGCAAGCCUGAUCCAGCGAUGCCGCGUGUGUGAAGAA